CCGGUCCCUGCGCAUAGUGAGAGCUUAUUGCACUGGGCUCCCAUUUUUUGUUUUUAAGAAUUGACUCUAUACACCUCAAUUAUCACAUUCCACCAGUUGUUUAAACAGACAGUCCCUUCAGUCCUACGAUAUUACACAGCACACCUUGCCUUUCUAUGAACAUUCGAGUAUAACCAUGAAACUUUGACUUGUAUUUUGCAAAGAUCAGUUCACGAAAUUAGUUUUGGCAGUUGCAAAUCACUGAUGUUAUCUCAUUUAUGUGAAUGUAUUACACCCCAUUCGAACUUGAAUAUCCAUAUGAUUUAGGGUAUGCAACUUCUUGGAAUUUGCAACAUGGAAAAGUUCUUUAAAGCUGUACAAAAGCUCAGAUAGAAUACAAUAUGCUACAACUAGGAGAAAAAGAUGUGAGGGAAGCAUUUUAUUCUAUUGAUUGCUGCCGCGACGAGCUCUCUGAUUAAUUAACUAAAGCAUAAUUGGAUCGGACACUCAGCGCUGAAAUUAUGCACCACUUUGUAGUGCUGAUUCAUACAGAAUACAUAGGUGCAGGAGCCUUUAUAAUCAGAUCAAACAAAUAAAACAUUCAAGAUCUCCACAUAAGAUGAAUUUUCUAUUCCUUCGCACUCUGGGUGGGAAGUGAGUGGGCAAGGAACGACAAGGGCCUAGUGAUUGGUCAUUUAUGUAGACAAUAAUUUGGAGAAACAAACUUUACAAUUAUGAAAUGUAUAAGGAAACUAACCUGCUCAAUGUGUGGCAGAUACUUUCCAUCAAAAGUGACAACAACACGAUCCUUCCCAUCUAUACCUUUGACUUUAUCAACUGAGCAGAAAAAGUCUAUAGCUGACAUGCUAAACAUCAAGAGUGGAAAGUUAAUAUCUCAUGUAGCUCUCUAGAAUUAUAUCCUGUGCAGGAAGCCUAGUGAAAGUGCCCUUACAUGUAUUUAACAACUAACAAUACCAUAAAAUUGCAUAAAACACACACACAUAUAUAGCUUCGAUUUCAUAGAUUAAAUGUUAUCUGUGGAAGUGGAAACUCUAUUUUAGUUGUAUAUCAUUAUUCAGAAUCAAAAAAUUGAGAUAAGCAUUACUAGGGCCUGGUCUAAGAAAAUUAAAGCAACACAAGGAAUACAUGCCUAGAGCAAUACAACACUUCACAGCCCAAUAACAGUUUCCCAUUUAACUAAUAGAAUCUAGACAAAAUAUUUCAAAGACUCAGUAUCGAAGAUUAGUUAGGACAAGAUAGGUCAAUCCAGUCAAAUUUUGAGUGCAUUCGGAUUGCAUCUAAGGGUAUGGCCUAGUGGUAAAUGAAGUGGGCUGAGAACCAUGAGGUGUAAGGUUCAAAUUCCAGUGGAGAAAAAAAUACUAGGUGAUUUCUUCCCAUUUGUUCAAACUUUGGUGGAUAGAGUUACCUGGUACCUAUUUCUAGUGGGAGGUAGCAGGUCUCCUAUGGAAUUAGUCGAGGUGCGUGCAAACUGAUCUGAACACCACAGUUAUAAAAAAGUGCAUUCGGGUUGGUUAGAUGGAUGUGUGGGCAUACUAGGAGGGAUAUAAUUAGAAACAAAGAUAUACGGGGCAAGGUGGGAGUGGCUUCCAUGGGGGGCAAGAUGCGGGAAGCGAGGCUGAGAUGGUUCGAGCAUGUGACGAGGAAGAGGGCAGAUGUCCCAGUGACGAGGUGCAUCAUUGUGAGAGGUUGGCAGUGAUUGGUCUAAGAAGAG
rnacentral:lncRNA from 1 species